rnacentral:rRNA from 1 species
UACAGAGGGUGCAAGCGGUAAUCGGAAUUACUGGGCGUAAAGCGUGCGUAGGUGGUUUGCUAAGUCAGGUGUGAAAUCCCCGGGCUCAACCUGGGAACUGCGCUUGAUACUGGCAGACUAGAGUGUGGUAGAGGGUAGUGGAAUUCCCGGUGUAGCGGUGAAAUGCGUAGAUAUCGGGAAGAACAUCAGUGGCGAAGGCGGCUACCUGGACCAACACUGACACUGAGGUACGAAAGCGUGGGGAGCAAACAGG